rnacentral:rRNA from 1 species
UGCAAUCCGGCAGCUUACCGUGCAGUCGAGGGGUAUUGGUUUUCGGACCAAGAGACCGGCGCACGGGUGCGUAACGCGUAUGCAAUCUACCUUUUACAGAGGGAUAGCCCAGAGAAAUUUGGAUUAAUACCUCAUAGUAUAUAUGAAUGGCAUCAUUUAUAUAUUAAAGUUACAACGGUAAAAGAUGAGCAUGCGUCCCAUUAGCUAGUUGGUAAGGUAACGGCUUACCAAGGCGACGAUGGGUAGGGGUCCUGAGAGGGAGAUCCCCCACACUGGUACUGAGACACGGACCAGACUCCUACGGGAGGCAGCAGUGAGGAAUAUUGGACAAUGGGCGCAAGCCUGAUCCAGCCAUGCCGCGUGCAGGAUGACGGUCCUAUGGAUUGUAAACUGCUUUUGUACAGGAAGAAACACUCGGACGUGUCCGAGCUUGACGGUACUGUAAGAAUAAGGAUCGGCUAACUCCGUGCCAGCAGCCGCGGUAAUACGGAGGAUCCAAGCGUUAUCCGGAAUCAUUGGGUUUAAAGGGUCCGUAGGCGGUUUAGUAAGUCAGUGGUGAAAGCCCAUCGCUCAACGGUGGAACGGCCAUUGAUACUGCUAGACUUGAAUUAUUAGGAAGUAACUAGAAUAUGUAGUGUAGCGGUGAAAUGCUUAGAGAUUACAUGGAAUACCAAUUGCGAAGGCAGGUUACUACUAAUGGAUUGACGCUGAUGGACGAAAGCGUGGGGAGCGAACAGGAUUAGAUACCCUGGUAGUCCACGCCGUAAACGAUGGAUACUAGCUGUUGGGCGCAAGUUCAGUGGCUAAGCGAAAGUGAUAAGUAUCCCACCUGGGGAGUACGUUCGCAAGAAUGAAACUCAAAGGAAUUGACGG